rnacentral:rRNA from 1 species
AGUGAACGCUGGCGGUAGGCCUAACACAUGCAAGUCGAACGGCAGCACAGUAAGAGCUUGCUCUUACGGGUGGCGAGUGGCGGACGGGUGAGGAAUACAUCGGAAUCUACUUUUUCGUGGGGGAUAACGUAGGGAAACUUACGCUAAUACCGCAUCCGACCUACGGGUGAAAGCAGGGGAUCUUCGGACCUUGCGCGAUUGAAUGAGCUGAUGUCGGAUUAGCUAGUUGGCGGGGUAAAGGCCCACCAAGGCGACGAUCCGUAGCUGGUCUGAGAGGAUGAUCGGCCACACUGGAACGGAGACACGGUCCAGACGCCUACGGGAGGCAGCAGUGGGGAAUAUUGGACAAUGGGCGCAAGCCUGAUCCAGCCAUACCGCGUGGGUGAAGAAGGCCUUCGGGUUGUAAAGCCCUUUUGUUGGGAAAGAAAAGCAGCAGGUUAAUACCCCGCUGUUCUGACGGUACCCAAAGAAUAAGCACCGGCUAACUUCGUG